ACUCCUACGGGAGGCAGCAGUGGGGAAUAUUGGACAGUGGGCGAAAGCCUGAUCCAGCAAUGCCGCGUGAGUGAUGAAGGCCUUAGGGUUGUAAAGCUCUUUUACCAGGGAUGAUAAUGAUAGUACCUGGAGAAUAAGCUCCGGCUAACUCCGUGCCAGCAGCCGCGGUAAUACGGAGGGAGCUAGCGUUGUUCGGAAUUACUGGGCGUAAAGCGUGCGUAGGCGGCGAUUCAAGUCAGAGGUGAAAGCCUGGAGCUCAACUCCAGAACUGCCUUUGAAACUAGAUUGCUAGAAUCUGGGAGAGGUGAGUGGAAUUCCGAGUGUAGAGGUGAAAUUCGUAGAUAUUCGGAAGAACACCAGUGGCGAAGGCGGCUCACUGGACCAGUAUUGACGCUGAGGCACGAAAGCGUGGGGAGCAAACAGGAUUAGAUACUCUGGUAGUCCACGCCGUAAACGAUGAUAACUAGCUGCCAGGGUUCAUAGAACUCUGGUGGCGCAGCUAACGCAUUAAGUUAUCCGCCUGGGGAGUACGGUCGCAAGAUUAAAACUCAAAGGAAUUGACGGGGGCCUGCACAAGC
rnacentral:rRNA from 1 species